CUGUUAGCCUCUCCAGGCGCAGCCCCGGCCGCCGGGCGCACCCGUCCCGUUCGUCCCCGGACGUUGCUCUCUGCCCCCGGGAACGUCGAGACUGGAGCGUCCGGACUGAGCCACCUUCGUGGACCCGGAGUGCGGCG
rnacentral:miRNA from 1 species